rnacentral:rRNA from 1 species
GGCCAGACUCCUACGGGAGGCAGCAGUGAGGAAUAUUGGUCAAUGGCCGAGAGGCUGAACCAGCCAAGUCGCGUGAGGGAAGACGGCCCUACGGGUUGUAAACCUCUUUUGUCGGGGAGCAAAGCGAGUCACGUGUGACUCAUUGAGAGUACCCGAAGAAAAAGCAUCGGCUAACUCCGUGCCAGCAGCCGCGGUAAUACGUAGGGGGCAAGCGUUAUCCGGAUUUACUGGGUGUAAAGGGAGCGUAGACGGCAGAGAAAGUCUGAAGUGAAAGCCCGCGGCUCAACCGCGGAACUGCUUUGGAAACUUUUCGGCUAGAGUACCGGGGAGGUAAGCGGAAUUCCUAGUGUAGCGGUGAAAUGCGUAGAUAUUAGGAGGAACACCAGUGGCGAAGGCGGCUUGCUGGACGGUAACUGACGUUGAGGCUCGAAAGCGUGAGGAGCAAACAGGAUUAGAUACCCGGGUAUA